UACGUAGGGGGCUAGCGUUGUCCGGAAUCAUUGGGCGUAAAGCGCGCGUAGGCGGCCUGGUAAGUCCGCUGUGAAAGUCAAAGGCUCAACCUUUGAAUGUCAGCGGAUACUGCCAGGCUAGAGUCCGGAAGAGGCGAGUGGAAUUCCUGGUGUAGCGGUGGAAUGCGCAGAUAUCAGGAGGAACACCAAUUGCGAAGGCAGCUCGCUGGGACGUUACUGACGCUGAGACGCGAAAGCGUGGGGAGCAAACAGG
rnacentral:rRNA from 1 species